UUGAAGGCGGGAGGAGAGACCACAUCCGUGGCGCCGAAGGAGCAAGCCUUGGAAGAAGGCGAAUCUCUCAGGCAAAAGGAGGCCCGCUGGACG
rnacentral:ncRNA from 2 species